GCCCCCGUAGCUCAGUGGAUAGAGCGCCAGCCUCCGGAGCUGGAAGCCCGGGUUCGAGUCCCGGCGGGGGUACCA
rnacentral:tRNA from 1 species